ACGCUCGACACCUACAGGAGGCAGCAGUGGGGAAUAUUGCACAAUGGGGGAAACCCUGAUGCAGCGACGCCGCGUGAGUGAAGAAGUAUUUCGGUAUGUAAAGCUCUAUCAGCAGGGAAGAAGAUGACGGUACCUGAGUAAGAAGCCCCGGCUAACUACGUACCAGCAGCCGCGGUAAUCUGAGCGGGCUGGCAAGGC
rnacentral:rRNA from 1 species